UAACCCAGCGAAAGUUGGACUAAUACCUUAUGUAUUCGUUUGAUCUCAUGAGAUUACGAAUAAAGAUUUAUCGGUUAUGGAUGGGGAUGCGUCUGAUUAGCUUGUUGGCGGGGUAACGGGCUCACCAAGGCAACGAUCAGUAGGGGUUCUGAGAGGAAGGUCCCCCACAUUGGAACUGAGACACGGUCCAAACUCCUACGGGAGGCAGCAGCA
rnacentral:rRNA from 1 species